rnacentral:miRNA from 1 species
UGAGUAUUGUACCAUGCGGUGA